GAUGAACGCUGGCGGCGUGCCUAAUACAUGCAAGUCGAGCGAACGGACGAGAAGCUUCUUUUUUUGAUGUUAGCGGCGGACGGGUGAGUAACACGUGGAUAACCUACCUAUAAGACGGGGAUAACUUCGGGAAAACGGAGCUAAUACCGUAAAAUAUUUUGAACCAUAAGGUUCAAAAGUAAAAUACGGUCUUGCUGUCACUUAUAGAUGGUUCCGCGCUGCAUUAGCUAGUUGGUAGGGUAACGGCCUACCAAGGCAACGAUGCAUAGCCGACCUGAGGGGGGGAUCGGCCACCUUGGAACUGAGCCACGGUCCAGACUCCUACGGGAGGCAGCAGUAGGGAAUCUUCCGCAGUGGGCGAAAGCCUGACGGAGCACCGCCGCGUGGGUGAUGAAGGUCUUCGGAUCGUAAAACCCUGUUAUUAGGGAAGAACAUAUGUGUAAGUAACUGUGCACAUCUUGACGGUACCUAAUCAGAAAGCCACGGCUAACUACGUG
rnacentral:rRNA from 1 species